CCGGCCCGGGGCAGCGGCUGCGGCCGCGGGGGGCCUCCCGUCGGGGCUGCAGAUAAAGAAUCCGAGGCGCAGAGAGGUGGCACUGCUGGAAGGAACAGAGCCAGAUCCACAAGAUCCUUCAUUCCGACAAUAAAUAUUCACUGAAGAUCUGCCACAUGUCAGGCCCCAGCCCAGAUCAGGAAAUUGAGGUCCAGUGAGGUGUCUUGGCCAGGACACUCAGUCAGGACGUGACAUGAACACAGGACUGUCUGACUUCAAAUCCAGUGCUCCUUCCCCUGCAGUCCCCACCCCACUGACUGGGGGACAGUGCUCCAGGCAGCUGGAAUGGGACACGGUUUGUGUGGCAGCGAGAUAUCCAGGCUCUCCUCCUUCCAGAUCUAAGGAUUCAAACCCAGGUCUGCUUGACUAGGAAGGCCGGCCCUCUCCAUGGUGCCAGGACAACUCUUUGGAGAAGAUGCCCCUCUCUCUGCCUGCCUGAAUCUUCUCCGUCCACAAAGGCCUGCUCCAUCCUCCCUCCUCCAGGAAGCUUUCCCUGACUGUCCCCGGGCCCAGCCAGGGUGUCUGGGGGGCUGGAGAGACCCACAGAGCCCUGAUCACCGUGGCUGGCCCGUAAGUGUGGCGACUGAGUCCCAGUCUGGAGGCACAGCUGGACUUUCCCAGAGAGAACUGAGGCAUUGUGGGAAUUUCCCAGCUGUGACCCCAGGACCCUGAUUGCCCAGAAUGGCUCCAAGUUCACAUAUCUAGGGACCGUCACCAAGACUCCUGUAUCUAUAUUAAACUCGGUAAAUGUGA
rnacentral:lncRNA from 1 species